CAGUAGCCGCGGGAAUACGAAGGGGGCUAGCGUUGUUCGGAAUUACUGGGCGUAAAGCGCACGUAGGCGGAUAUUUAAGUCAGGGGUGAAAUCCCAGAGCUCAACUCUGGAACUGCCUUUGAUACUGGGUAUCUUGAGUAUGGAAGAGGUGAGUGGAAUUUCGAGUGUAGAGGUGAAAUUCGUAGAUAUUCGGAGGAACACCAGUGGCGAAGGCGACUCUCUGGUCUGUAACUGACGCUGAGGAGCGAAAGCGUGGGGAGCAAACAGGAUUAGAUACCCCAGUAGUCCCUGUCUCUUAUAC
rnacentral:rRNA from 1 species